UCAGCUUUAGGCUGAAGGGGUGGCCUCUCAGUCCUGCUUCUUGACCUAUGGACUGUGUUUGCAGUCCAACCUCAGGAUCCAGGGAGUUGUUGCUAUUUCUGCUGCCUUGGGAGCUGACUGAGGCUGUUGACCUAGAGACCAACUCCCAAGAUGUAAAUUUGCUGAACAAAGGGGGACUAAAUUGAGCUGACUCCUCACCAAAAUAAAGCUCACAUCCUCUGUACUUGGUUGAGGACCAUGUGUUGCUACUGAGCUACUGUGCAUCACUGCCCACUGAGAAACUAGAUGCCUACCUGUACAUCACCCUACUAGCUUGCUCCUUUAGGUUUCCAUCAGAAGCCAUGUUUGACUCCAAAUGGGGGAUAGAAGCCCCACCAAAUGAAUAAACCACAUUGAAUCUUGUGA